AUUGGCGCAACUGCCUGUCUGUCAGAAACCCGCGCGGAUGGUUGAGUAGGGCGCCUGUCAAUCUCGCACCCUGUGGGUCCCGCCCCUUUCUUUGGUUUCCCUCAGGUUAAGAGAAAACCCGUCUUGUCUUUGCCCAGCAGCGCCAGCAGCUACAGUGCCUCUGCCUUCCUCUCGCUUUGAGGGAGGGUCUCACUCAGAAGCGCCGCUCGUGAGGACUUUGGGGCAGAAGUUGGUCCUCUGUGAAGCAGUGGUGCCCUCCCCGAAAAUAACAACAACAACAAUAAUAAAAGCAAUCAUAACAGUUGCCACAAUAAGAGGUGUCAGUGGUGGUGGUCAUCCACAAUUUGAUUGCUCCCCCACAAGCUCAGGCAACCAUUGUAACGAUUGAGGAGGCGUCCCAUUUCCACAAACACGAUCUCUUGUGGGAAUUGGUGCCUCAGGACAUGGCACACUUGGCUCAUUUCCAUGAGGGGGCAAAAUAAUGGCAAAAUAAUAAUAAGAGGAGCCCAUGCUCUACAACGUCCAAUAACGUCCCAAUAAGAAAUCGUCUCCUCAGAAGAUAGUGACAUCUCAGUGUCUACAUCCAAACAGUGGCUCCCAUUUAAUAACCGUGAGACUGAUAACCGUCGCCCCCGCUUUCAAAUUGAUUUGAAAACGCAGCAGAAAGUUCCAUAGAUUACUCUCCGAAAGAACGGAGCGGGACCGCAACAGACCAUUAUUAAAAGACCUUUUUUCCUUCAUUUUCCCUUUCCCUGAACUAUGUAACAAAUCCCCCCAAUAAAAGUGGCAUUUAUUUUAACAGUAACACUCUCUAUCUGGUUAUUUUGUAUCUCCCUCUGACUCCUUCCUUUUUGCAUGCGGUUUCUCUCCCUCCCGUCCUUUAACUCCGGCUGAGGUUCUCCGCCAUAGAUUAACAUGGCGGACGAUAUAAAUUGGCUCAUAUCUCUAUCAAAAUUACCCCUAGAACGCUCCUCUUUUAGUCUUAACCCUUUCUAAGGCUCCUGACUCGAAGACAACCAGCAGACCCGGAAUCGGUCCAGUUUUCGGCAUCUCAACAGCUGACUGUCAAACAGAACCGCGUUUCUUUCCAAGCCAAGUUGCUGCUUUAUCCCGGGGUUUUCUCUCCCCGCGACUCGCGGAAUGGUUCUCCCUGGCCCCUUUCUGUGAAAUGGGGAUGGGGGGAUCGCUCUCUCGCGGGGGAGACAUAGUUCACCAAGGACCCUCACCCUCUACAGCUGCCAAGGGAUGCCCGGACGGGGGCCCUCCACGUUUCAUUCAUAAUUUCAUAAUUUUAUGAAAGAGAAGAACACUCUUCCCCACACCUACCCCUUGGACUUAUGAAAUCCUAUACCUCCAAAGACUUACUAACCCAUAUGUGCCCCUUCCCCAUGCCAUCUCUAUGAAUUCCUUAUGAACUCUUUCCCCUCAUGUAUUUGUGAAUUUUUAUAUUCUAUGUACAUGACUCACUGCUGUAUGAAUUUCAAACUGUUGGGCUAACUUCAUGGAUUGCGAAAUCAUGCUGCUUGAACCCUACUUCUAUGUUGGAUUCCCCAGAUGUUGUGAACUUCGUUCCUAUCAAAUGUUUUCUAUUGCUCAUUUAUAUUGUUUAUAUCAUUCAUGAUUCCCCUUUAUGCAAUGUCACCCACCUUUAUGGAUUCUCCUUUAUCUACCUAUCUGCCUAUAUGUAUUUACACUCUUUGGGAUCCCCGGAAAAUAUGUGUUUUUCCCUGCUGGGUUUAUGUUCCGACUUUAUUUAUAAUUUUCAUUUUAUCCCAAAUAAUUGUCAGAUCAUGAAAUCAAAUGGGAAAUAUUAUGACCCCAACCUGAACUCUAGCCCCAUGACUCAGACCUCCCCUUCCCAAAAAAACAAAGGGAUAAUCUGCCACAGUUAAUCCCAUCUCACUCCGAUCGCAUGGACAAUAUAGGGCGAGUCACCAAACUAAAGGUGACUCGCCCCCAAGGCAAACAUUGUCACAUCUCAGGCCAGGACGCCGCAGGAAGGCACCCUGUGGGGCCGUCAAUGAUGGCUCAUCAAAUCACCACUUCCCGUCUGACACCCCAAAGACAUAUCUAAAAUCUGUGAACGUGACAGGACCCCGGACAUCCUUGAUGGGUGUCAUUAAUUCCUUUAGAAAUUGGCUGGGCCAGAAUUAAUCCGAUGUUUCCUGUCCGGUCACCGCAUUGUUUCUAUAGCUCCCGCCUCCUCCUCUCUGAUUGGCCCGAGGGGGAACAAAAAACAGCUCCCCAUUGGGCCAGCAGGGCAAGGCGGGAAACGAAAGCCCGCCUCGUUCAACCUCUCAGCCAAUCCGCGAUCAGAUGGGCAGGGAAGCGGGGCGGGAAAUUCAAAGGGCUGUCAGACCGAAACAUUGUAUAAAUAUGACUUUAUUUGAAACAUAUGUUACGCUAGUAGAUUGAAUGAUCGCUAUUAGCGUCCUUUUCAGCUGAAAUUGCUAAAUAAAAACUCCUUGGCGGAUUUUCCUUCAA